rnacentral:rRNA from 1 species
CGGAAUGAGUACACUCUAAACCCUUUAACGAGGAUCAAUUGGAGGGCAAGUCUGGUGCCAGCAGCCGCGGUAAUUCCAGCUCCAAUAGCGUAUAUUAAAGUUGUUGCGGUUAAAAAGCUCGUAGUCGAAUUUGUGUCUCGCGCCGCCGGUUCAUCGUUCGCGGUGUCAACUGGCGUGCCGCGAGACGUCCUGCCGGCGGGCCUGCUCGUAAAAGGGCGGCCCAAUUCAAUCCCGCCGCGGUGCUCUUCGUUGAGUGUCGAGGUGGGCCGGCACGUUUACUUUGAACAAAUUAGAGUGCUUAAAGCAGGCUAAAACUUCGCCUGAAUAAUGAGUGCAUGGAAUAAUGAAACAGGACCUCGGUUCUAUUUUGUUGGUUUUCGGAACCCCGAGGUAAUGAUUAACAGGAACGGAUGGGGGCAUUCGUAUUGCGACGUUAGAGGUGAAAUUCUUGGAUCGUCGCAAGACGGACAGAAGCGAAAGCAUUUGCCAAAAACGUUUUCAUUGAUCAAGAACGAAAGUUAGAGGUUCGAAGGCGAUCAGAUACCGCCCUAGUUCUAACCAUAAACGAUGCCAGCUAGCGAUCCGCCGACGUUCCUCCGAUGACUCGGCGGGCAGCUUCCGGGAAACCAAAGCUUUUGGGUUCCGGGGGAAGUAUGGUUGCAAAGCUGAA